rnacentral:misc_RNA from 1 species
GUUUUUGUAUUUAGCCACCCUCUCGGGCAGACAGUUUCACAUUCAGUUACAGAGUUUGUAUAGGUCGCGCAGCCUGCAGCGGGCACUUUCGCACCCACCUCGACCACGCGCACAGUGCACAGGGGUUUGAGUGGUCACAGGAGACGCCCGCCCGCGCUCAGGCCCAAGGAGCCGAGCGCAGGGGCAGAAGCCUCCCGGCACAUUCGUUAAUGAUCCUUCCGCAGGUUCACCUACGGAAA